UACAUAGGGGGCAAGCGUUGUCCGGAAUUAUUGGGCGUAAAGCGCAUGUAGGCGGCCAUGUAAGUCGGAUGUGAAAUCCCGGGGCUCAACUCCGGAACUGCAUCCGGUACUGCAUGGCUUGAGGAAGGUAGAGGAGAGUGGAAUUCCCGGUGUAGCGGUGGAAUGCGCAGAUAUCGGGAGGAACACCAGCGGCGAAGGCGGCUCUCUGGGCCUCUCCUGACGCUGAGAUGCGAAAGUGUGGGUAGCGAACAGG
rnacentral:misc_RNA from 1 species